rnacentral:rRNA from 1 species
UUGAAGCUAUUUCCUUUUUCGCUUAGAGAUCGUGCUAAAGCUUGGUUUUCGUCUUUGCCUAAAAAUAGCAUUGAUUCGUGGAAUAAGUGCAAGGAUGCUUUUAUCUCUAAGUAUUUUCCUCCCGCUAAGAUCACCUCUCUUAGAAACGAUAUUAUGAAUUUUAAGCAACUUAAUCAUGAACAUGUUGCACAAGCUUGGGAGAGGAUGAAAUUAAUGAUACGUAAUUGCCCUACUCAUGGUUUGAAUUUGUGGAUGAUUAUACAAAAAAUUUAUGCCAGAUUGAAUUUUGCUUCUAGAAAUCUUUUAGAUUCAGCCACGGGAGGCACUUUUAUGGAAAUCACUUUAGGAGAAGCUACUAAACUCCUAGAUAAUAUUAUGGUUAAUUACUCUUAA